AUUGAACGCUGGCGGAAUGCUUUACACAUGCAAGUCGAACGGCAGCACGGGGGCAACCCUGGUGGCGAGUGGCGAACGGGUGAGUAAUACAUCGGAACGUGCCCAGUCGUGGGGGAUAACUACGCGAAAGCGUAGCUAAUACCGCAUACGAACUCUGGUUGAAAGCGGGGGAUCGCAAGACCUCGCGCGAUUGGAGCGGCCGAUGGCAGAUUAGGUAGUUGGUGGGGUAAAGGCUCACCAAGCCGACGAUCUGUAGCUGGUCUGAGAGGACGACCAGCCACACUGGGACUGAGACACGGCCCAGACUCCUACGGGAGGCAGUAGUGGGGAAUUUUGGACAAUGGGCGCAAGCCUGAUCCAGCCAUUCCGCGUGCAGGAUGAAGGCCCUCGGGUUGUAAACUGCUUUUGUACGGAACGAAACGCGCCGGGUUAAUACCUCGGCGUAAUGACGGUACCGUAAGAAUAAGCACCGGCUAACUACGUGCCAGCAGCCGCCGUAACAC
rnacentral:rRNA from 1 species